rnacentral:rRNA from 1 species
UGGGGAAUCUUAGACAAUGGGGGCAACCCUGAUCUAGCCAUGCCGCGUGAGUGAUGAAGGCCUUAGGGUUGUAAAGCUCUUUCAGCUGGGAAGAUAAUGACGGUACCAGCAGAAGAAGCCCCGGCUAACUCCGUGCCAGCAGCCGCGGUAAUACGGAGGGGGCUAGCGUUGUUCGGAAUUACUGGGCGUAAAGCGCACGUAGGCGGACCAGAAAGUUGGGGGUGAAAUCCCGGGGCUCAACCUCGGAACUGCCUUCAAAACUAUUGGUCUUGAGUUCGAGAGAGGUGAGUGGAAUUCCGAGUGUAGAGGUGAAAUUCGUAGAUAUUCGGAGGAACACCAGUGGCGAAGGCGGCUCACUGGCUCGAUACUGACGCUGAGGUGCGAAAGCGUGGGGAGCAAACAG